rnacentral:piRNA from 1 species
UGGGGUGAGAUGUGAAGGUUUCUGGAU